UUUCCUCAGUUGGUUGUUUUAUUAUAAAAGUUGAAGUUUCUACUCUGACAGUGAACAAGGAACCAAAUAAACCUCCAGUAAGAAAAUAAAAAACAACAUGAUGAAGAUGAAGAUGAUGAAGGGCGGGAAGAGGAGUCAGGGGUUUCCAUGGUAACACACAGGGGUGAUGGUGGGCAUGGGGGGCGGGGCGGUGCAGGGGUAACCAUGGUAACAGUGAGGAGGGGGGGUUUAUUCUACUAUCCUCUGGUGUCGGACAGUUUUAACAUCUGAUGACCAACACACACACACACACACACACACACACACACACACACACACACACACACACACGUUACUGAAAGGCAACACACACACACAUAGUACUCGCACAACUCACACUCACAGUUUCUGAAACACACACACGCACGCACACACACACACACACACACACACUCUGUCAUCCUGGGUGUGUGUGUUUUAGAGCGACCUGGCUGUCAGGUGACGGGUCAGGUGACGGGCCAGGUGACUGGUCAGGUGACUGGUCAGGUGACGGGUCAGGUGACGGGUCAGGUGACGGGUCAGGUGACGGGUCAGGUGACGGGUCAGGUGACUGGUCAGGUGACUGGUCAGGUGACGGGUCAGGUGACUGGUCAGGUGACUGGUCAGGUGACGGGUCAGGUGACGGGCCAGGUGACCGGCCAGGU